CCUUGCUUUUCUCCACGCGAACUCCUCUCCUUUGGGACAUGAGGACCUGGUGAUUAUCUCCAAAAAACCAUCCCAUAUGCUGGGUUUUUAUAGGCCAAAAGAGAGUUUGAAAUUGGAUAGGAAUCAAGAGUCCAAAACAAGUAGGAUUCUUGAAUUUUUGUGACGUCAACUCCAACCAUAAUUUUGCCUAAAAUUUUACACGGUAACCAGGGAUUUCUUACUCCUUACAUGCUAAUAAGGGGAGGAAAAAGUGACAUUAAACUGGUUUAGGGCGUGGAUCUAUUGGGCGCACAAAUUCAGUUCAACUUCGGACUCCUUUUUGUGCAUGGAAUCAAGGAAUUUCGUGAUCAUGAGACUCUUGUUUAAAUUACUGUUUUAAAUCCAAUUAAAAUACCAAUUAAUCUUAAUCAUAUUAGGACCAGAUUAGACUCAAAUAAAUAGAAAUUCAAAUCUGAUUUGGAGCCCAAUUAAUUUAGAUUAGAUGUCUCCUAAAUGGAGGAGUCCUAGUCCUAUUGAACUCUUUCUUAGUGCUUGAGUCAAUCUCAAUUUUUUAAUCCUAAUCCAAUUAGAAUUUGGUGCAUCCAAGAAAAUGAGGAUUCCUAAUCCAAAUAGGAAUUCAUAUAUUCUAGUUUAAUUAGGAAUUGGGUCAAACCCAAAUCCUAAUUCAACUGGGACUAAUCAUUCGAUCCUUUUGGGAUUAUCCUAUAACCCUAUUGGGGUUGAUCAAAUCAAAUCCAUAAUGAGUCAAAUUAAAUCCAAUCAAAUUGGACUUGAUGCAAACCCC
rnacentral:lncRNA from 1 species